CCAGACAGGUGGGCCUCGAUCCCACAACAAAUUAGUUAACAGCUAAAUACCUAAACCAGCGGGCUUCCAUCUG
rnacentral:tRNA from 1 species